CGGAGGCCUGAGCUUUCUGGGGUCUUGCAUCCUGAUGUGUCUACUUGUCUCAGUACAUCUGAUGUAAAUUUAACUUUAUACUUAGAUAACUGUAUAUGCAAUUUUUAAACUGUGCUAAGUCUCAUUUCUAAAUUGUUAUGUAUCUUUAAAUGAUGAUUAACAUUUAAAAUCACAAAGGUCUCUUUCAAGUUAACAAAAUAUUUAUACUACUUAGUCCAUCCUGUAAGCCAUUUACAAAGGUACAGCUUUUUAUUACAAAGGGGGAUUUUACUCUAACUAAAGGCAAGCUUUUGACUGCUGAGAUACUAAGCAAAUAGACAGCCCUCAAAUGCCCAGAGAUCUAGAGAAAACGGCAUUUAAAAUGUUUUGUUUAAAAGCUUUUUAUAACAGGCAGGCCAGCUGCUGGCUCCGCCUCAUUUCCUCCAAGAAGACUGGUGGGCACUGAAGAAACUUCAUCUUGAGUCAAUGGCAACGAUGGCCACUGAACAACCCUGCCCUUCACCUCAACUGCUACAAAGUAUUCCAGACCAUGGACAAGAGGACAGUGGAAUCAACUUUCCCCAUGUUGGGUCAAUGGUCAAAGAGGUACCAAGUUCCAUACAGCCUGGACUUCGAUGGAGCAACCAGAUACCCCAGGACUUGGCAGCAUCCCAGCUUUCUCAGGUCCUCCAAAGAUGGUCAACACCCUCCAUGUUAGCAGGAAGCAGUCUUGAGACUUCGACGCCCUUAUUCCUUAAUCUGCCAUGUCUAACACCCCACCUUUUUAAUAAUAAGUAAAGGUGGGAUUGAAAGGUUCAGGCAUUAUGCUGGCCUGCCCCUGUCACCUGGCAGAAUCCACUCAGGCAGCACCCUGGUCAUCCCAGGGUUCCAUGGGAACUAAGUCUGCACACAGGUAUAGAGGACCCCUUUAAAAGAUAGACCCCUGCCCACUUACACUCUCUUCUCUCUCUGCCUCUCUCUCUGCUUCUUCUCCUCUCUUCUAUUUCUCUCUCACUCACUCUCCAUGAAAUAAUAAACUGGUU
ensembl:lincRNA